rnacentral:lncRNA from 1 species
GGAUCACUAGCCCAUCCUGGUCCAUAGCCCUAAUAACUUGCAGUAGCGGGUGGUAAUCGCCGACCCCCCCCAAAGCCUGCUGGAUCCACCCAAUAGCUGUCGCAGAGUCACCCUUCAAAAGAACCUCUCUCUCCUGCAAUGCACGCCGUACAUAGCACAAGCCAGCCCAUGCCACUCUCAACUUCGCCUCUGGCACAAAGGUGUCAAACAAGUGGCAGCCCCCAGUC